rnacentral:rRNA from 1 species
GAUGAACGCUGGCGGCGUGCCUAAUACAUGCAAGUCGAACGGACGGACGCGAAGCUUGCUUCUCUGAUGUUAGCGGCGGGCGGGUGAGUAACACGUGGAUCACCUACCUAUAAGACUGAGAUAACUUCGAGAAACCGGCGCUAAUACCGGAGGAUCUUUUGCACCGCAUGGUUCAAAAGUGAAAGACGGUCUUGCUGUAACUUAUCGCUGGAUCCGCGCUGCAUUAGCUAGUUGGUAAGGUCACGGCUUACCAAGGGGAGUAUGCAUAGCCGACCGGAGAGGGGGAUAGGCCACAUGGGAACGUAGACGCGGUCCAGGCGCCUACGGGAGGCAGCAGUAGGGAAUCGUCCGCAAUAGGCGAAAGCCUGACGGAGUGACGCGGCGUGUGUGGUGAAGGUCCUCGGAGCGUAAAACUCUGCUAUGAGGGAAGAACAGAUGUGUAAGUAACUGUGCAGAGCGUGACGGUACCUAAUCAGAAAGCCACGGCUAACUACGUG